ensembl:vault_RNA Vault Vault RNA
GGGCCAGCUUAGCCAAGCGGUUCCUUCGUAUUUUCUGCAGAAAAAUCUCCUACAGGUUCAAGUCCCGCGGGCGCUGCCUGGUCUUUUG